AUCGCUUCUCGGCCUUUUGGCUAAGAUCAAGUGUAGAUUCUAUGUAUAUUAUUUUCUGUAGGUGAAGAGGUACAGGUGUCUGUCAUGUGUGCCAUGAGUGAAGUGUAUGCUGUAGGCAUAAAGCUUUGCAAAAAUA
rnacentral:snRNA from 1 species